GGGUCGUUAGCUCAGUUGGUAGAGCAGUUGAAUUUUAAACAGUUGGUCGCUGGUUCGAAUACUGCACGACCCACCA
rnacentral:tRNA from 1 species